rnacentral:misc_RNA from 1 species
GCGAGUUCUGGUCCGCAAGGAUCGGUUGCUCUACCCCCUGAUAUUUGCGCGGUCCAGGGCGUCAAGUGGCGGGACACCCCGCUGCUAGUCGCCGGGAUCGCUUACUCCUUCGGAGGUCGCGGUUUGCGCCCGGCUCCGGUCUUGAAAAUACAUGUCGAUAAUUUGAAGUCUGAGUGGACAUCAAUAAAGCA